CAAAUACUAGUUAACUAUCACGAGUAUAAAAUACAUUUUCGCUUUAUGAAAAUUUCACAGCAGAUUUUGGCAGUAUACAAUACCACAUUUUCAUUUGUAAAAAGAAAUAUAAAUUAUUUCAUUAUCAGUCUCCAGAAAUUAGAACGUUAAAUUUUGAGAUCUGCGAGCAUAAGAAAAGCAACCAAUAUGGAUAAUUUUAUUAGGAUGCGAGGCUAUUUUCUGUGUACAAUGUCAGAGUAAUUUUUUGCUGAUGGUACCUAGUCAAUUAUUUAGUUGUUAUAUAAAAGAUAAUAAAAUUGGCGCAAUUAGAGGAUUAUUUUAUUGGCGCAAAUGAUACCUAUAGUUUUGAAAAUUAGGUGGCGCAAAAGAAGUAUUGGCGCAAUUAAGUUGUGGCGCAAAUGAGUUACUUUUUGGCGCAAAAAGAUAUCGCCCAAUAACUAGAACUUGUCUCUCAGCUCCGG
rnacentral:lncRNA from 1 species